AGUGCAAUUACUGGGUCAUAUAGUUGCUAAAUAUUUAGUGUUUAAGGAAACUGUCAAACUGUUUUCCAAUAUGACUGUACCAUUUACAUUCCCAUCAGCAAU
rnacentral:pre_miRNA from 1 species